AGGACGAACGCUGGCGGCGUGCUUAACACAUGCAAGUGGGGCGACGAACCGGACUUCGGUCCGGGGCAAAGCCGCGAACGGGUGAGUAACACGUGGGUAACCUGCCCCGAAGACUGGGACAACCCGGGGAAACCCGGGCUAAUACCGGAUGUGGUCAUCGUUCACAAGGACGAUGAGCAAAGGAAGCUUCGGCCUCCGCUUCGGGAUGGGCCCGCGGCCCAUUAGCUUGUUGGUGAGGUAACGGCUCACCAAGGCUUCGAUGGGUAGCUGGUCUGAGAGGACGAUCAGCCACACUGGGACUGAGACACGGCCCAGACUCCUACGGGAGGCAGCGAGUGGGGAAUCGUUGCGCAAUGCGCGAAAGCGUGACGCAGCAACGCCGGCGGUGGGGGAAGACGGCCUUCGGGUUACGUAACCCGUUUCGAGGAGGGACGAAGCGUCCGGCGCGAAGUGCGGUCCGGAGUGACGUACCG
rnacentral:rRNA from 1 species